rnacentral:rRNA from 1 species
GAUGAACGCUGGCGGCGUGCCUAAUACAUGCAAGUCGAGCGAACGGACGAGAAGCUUGCUUCUCUGAUGUUAGCGGCGGACGGGUGAGUAACACGUGGAUAACCUACCUAUAAGACUGGGAUAACUUCGGGAAACCGGAGCUAAUCCCGGAUAAUAUUUUGAACCGUAUGGUUCAAAAGUAAAAGACGGUCUUGCUGUCACUUAUAGAUGGAUCUGCGCUGCAUUAGCUAGUUGGUAAGUUAACGGCUUACCAAGGCAACUAUGCAUAGCCGACCUGAGGGGGGGGUCGGCCACACUAGAGCGGGGACACGGACCAGGCUCCUGAGAGAGGCAGCAGAAGGGAAUCUUACGCAGUAGGCGGAAGCCUGACGGAACAACGCCACGUGAGUGGUGGAGGUCUUCGGAUCGUAAAACUCUGUUAUUAGGGAAGAACAUAUGUGUAAGUAACUGUGCACAGCUUGACGGUACCUAGUCAAAAAGCCACGGCUAACUACGUG